AAGAGAAAAAAGAAGAGUAGAAGGUCCCGAAGCAGAGCGCCUCACGGGAUGAAAAAGAAUUUAAGCCCAACACGACGAAGACGAAGACGAAUAAUAUUUUCAACUAUCACCGACAAUAUCUUCUCUCGCCGCGAGCCUGCUUAUCGAGGGUUUUGCAGGUUUUGAGGUCGAAAAGUUGUAGCAGAGAGGACUUGAGUUUUAAUGAGGUGGUGCUUUUGACAGAAAAGGAGUUCGUGUAGAAGUUUAUAUCGAGGUCUUGAGAUAGUGCGGAGGAAUUGUUGGUAUGCUACAAAUCUCGUCUUUUGGAUUUAUCUUCUUCUUCUUCUGAGAAGGAAGACUCCUUACUGACACUACUCUCUACGCCCUUCAACUCUAAUAUGCAUCCUUAUUCUGCGGUAAUGUCAUUCUUGGACGUAAACUUAAAAUUGAACGGCCUCGUAUUACAUCAGAAGGCCUGCAAAGGUGAUAUUAUAACAUUCCGAGCUCCUUUACGGCUUCUUGAUAUGGUUGGAGUUUUUCUAAUCUGCCAAGAGUUAUGAUAAUAAAUUCUAUUAUGAGACUCCGCUAAUAAAGUAAGGAGGAGCUCUUUUGGGUUCUGAUCUUGCUUGGUUCUUUUUUUUUUUGUCAUGAGUUUCUCAGCUAACUCAAGGAGAUGCUCGUUUGGGCAAUAUCAUAUGAUCAGUUGCCUGAGUGGAAAAAGUUUCAAGAAAAAGUUUGAUUUGAUUGUAAGUUAUGGGUUUCCGGAGAAAUUAAAGUGUGAUUAUGUUUAGAGGGUUAGCUUCUUCUUAUGACCUCCAAGGAGAAGUUGAAGACAGAAAUCCAAUUCUUCUUGAACAUAAUUGGGUUUGAGAAGGAAAUUUUAGCUGAGAACCUGUCUGCUUGGCGUACAGUUUUGAAGAUAGAAUCUUUCCUUGUUACGGGGUUUUGCAGGUUUCGAGGUUGAGAAGUUGUAGCAGAGAGGACUUGAGUUUUAAUGAGGUGGUGCUUUUGACAGAAAAGGAGUUCGUGUAGAAGUUUAUAUCGAGGUCUUGAGAUAGUGUGGAGGAAUUGUUGGUAUGCUACAAAUCUCGUCUUUUGGAUUUAUCUUCUUCUUCUUCUGCUUCUGAGAAGGAAAGCUCCUUACUGACCCUUUUUUCUCUAUGCUCUUGCUCUUUACUGACCCUAUUCUCUAUGCUCUUCAACUCUAAUAUGCAUUCUUAUUCUGUUGUAGUGCCAUUGUUGGACAUAAAUUUAAAAUUGAAUGGUUAGGAUCGAUUUUAAUGUU